rnacentral:tRNA from 1 species
AGGGGUAUAGCCAAGCGGUAAGGCAGCGGGUUUUGAUCCCGCCAUUCCCCUGGUUCGAAUCCAGGUACCCCUGCCA